CACACAUAUAUAUAUCUGUAUAUAUAUAUAUAUAUGUGUGUGUGUGUGUGUGAGAGUGUGUGUGUAAUGGUUGUCUGCAAGAAACACCUUUAAUUAAUCACAGCCAACCCUCAAAUAAUACGCAUAGUAUAGGACCCUUACAAUGCUACACUCCCAACUCUUCUCCCCACCCACCUUUUGUUUUCUUUCCUUCCACGGAUUCUGUGACAUCUUCCUCUCCUCAUUGACUCUGCAUGAAGGGGAUUCCUGGUGGGGGAAGGGUAGCUGGUGAGAAAUGAGGUAUCAAGAAACUAGCAAAGCAUCUUCUGGCUGUCUGUGGACAGUUCUUGUGUGGUCCCCAGCCUAGUCUCAAGGGUUCUGGGCUGGUCACCCUGCAGCCUCUGUGCUGUGUCACCAGAUUCGGGCUCUGAGGGAAGGGCCCUGGGAGGCCCAACAGAGCGGGGUGCCUUGUCUAACAUCCCCCCGUUCCUCUGGCUGUGUGGCUCAGGAAUAGGCCCAGACAGUGUGUCCAGGUGGUGCCAGGUCACCUCACUGCCCCCUUUGAGAUGGGCCCAGAGGGUUUUGUGGGGUGAGCAUGAAGCUGGGCACCCAAAGCCUGGGGCCGAGUGCCCCUCCCUGUGUCCCAGAGGAGGGGCCCUGACCUGAGAAGAUCCCCAGUGCCUGGCUUAUGGGUGCCAAUGUGGGGAGGGGUGGCUCUGAGGACUGAAGCGGGUCACUGAAAGAAGACAUUGAGCUCCAUGGCUCAGGGACCUUGGCAGUAGAGGCCUGGUAAGCAGAGACUAGGACACUGGGACUUGGUCACAAAAAAUAUGAUCAGAAAGGGCAUGGCCAUCAGAGAGUUGGUCAGGCGGCCUGGUCAUUGAGGGACUGUCAGUGAGGACCUGGUCACUGGGUGCUUGGUCAAUGGGUCUUGGUCAGUGGGGACCUGGUAAGUGGAGAUCUGAUUACUGGGGGCUUGGUCAUCAAGAGCCUGGUCAGUCAGGACCUGGUCAGUGAGGACCUGGUCAGUGAAGGACUUGUGGGGGGGCAUUGGUCAGCAGCGGCCUUGUCGGGGGAGGCUUGGUCAGUGGGGGCCUAGUUAGUGGGGUCCUGGCCAGCCGGCUGCUGGGUGACCUCAUGCAGGGGUUUGUCCUUGGAGCUUGCUUGCCGCCAUCUGUAGUGGGGAUGAGUCACAUCACCCCAGAGGGCUACUGGGAGGAGGAGAUGAGCAGGUGUGUGGAAUCCGGCCCUGCCCAACAGACCUAGCACUUUACACCCUAGCUGAGUCCCCUGCUAAAGAGGGGGCCUGCUCUCUGCCCUCCACCCUCAAUUCUCUGCUCCCCGUCCACAGGACUGCCCCACCUAGGGAGGGCUGAGGUUGGGGAACACCUGUGGACACUCUGAUGCUGGCCACAGGCCCAGGGCCGGGCGUGACAGUGACAAGGACCUGAGUGCGUACAUGAAUGGGGCCACCUGGCCCAGCCACAGAAGCAACACACCAUAUGCACGUGUUCACCCACAUAUAUGUGCACGCUCACAUUUACAAACACACUGCAUGCACACAUGUUGAUGCUUCGGGGGUGGAGGACGGUGACUGUGGGCCCUGCUGACCCAGGCGGGGGCCCAUUGUGAUGGGUGCCGUGAUCCCGUAAUGUCACUGGUGCUGAGUACCCACCCGCCUACCUGGCUGCCUUCUCUGUGUCUGGAGCUCUUAGAGACAAGAUAAACAGCGAUGUCUGGUUCUGCUCAGAGGAGGCUUUCUUAAGUGAGAGGCACAGUUGGAUCAGCAGACUCAGCUGAGUGUGACCUGCUCUGUUCCCUCCCUGCUGACCUGGGACAGUCGCUACCAGGCAGUGCUGGCCUCUGGGCGGGUGCCGAGGAGGGUCAUCCCUGAGCACUCACCAGCAACUCCAUGGGGCGGAUCCUGUCCCCGAAUGUAGCCAUUCCACAGGUGAGAUGUCUAGAGUCAGAGAGGUGAUGACUGGCCCAGAGACCCAGAUGUGGCCUGGGCCGUGCACUCAGCCCUGCCCUGUGCAGUGCUAGACUCAAGCCCUGACCUUUGCAGCCUCCCUGCCUUAGAUCCCACAUUUCCCUGGGGUUCUGGACCCUGAUGGGGUGGAGGGGGUGAUUCUCAGUCCAAGUCUGUGCCCAAAGCUUGGUCCCCACAGGAGGAGGUCUCAUCAACUCAGACUUCAGGUGCGGUCACUGAUGGUUGCUGUGGGACCCACUGGACACAUGGAGUCCUUCGUCUGGGAGUGGGGUGGGGAGGCCUCUGCCCUCGGGCAGUUGUGGAAAAUGAAGGAGCUCUAGAGGGCUGCCUGGAGGGUGAUGAUCGUCCCUCUUGGUCAAAGGGGCUUGGGGACUGGAACCUUCUCUGUCUGAUUCUCUAGAGGUCUUGUCUUCCCUUUGUCCCAAGUAUUCCCAAGGAAGAUGGUCCCCCUGGGUGUUCUCCAGGACCAAGUCCCCAGAAUUCUCUUGUUUUUUCCUUGGUGAUCCAGGAAAACGAAGCCCCCUCCUGUAUUGACAGCUGGGAAUUGUGGAGUCCACCGUCCUCCACCUGAGACGAGCACAGGGUCUCCACGAGGACAGAGGCUGCUUUGGACUCAAUAGAAAACUGGGCAUCUUCAUGGUCCUAGAAGGAUCCCAGGAGGCUGAUCCUAUAGAGACGUCUGGUUCCUGACCCCAACUGCCUCCAGGUGCCUGGAACAGCCCAUCGUGGGCCCUUUACCCUCAGCAGGUGGACGCCGUUGGUCCUGCCAGGGCAAGUGUGUGUCUGUCUUAGGGCAUUUGGGAACAAUGGGCCUCUCUGUCCAGGUCCCCCUGUGUUCAAGUCCUCAGGAAGGAGCCUACUCCUGGUCCAGGGCAGGGACUCUAGAGACUAGGGCAUGGGUGGGAAUACUGGAUUUAACCCUUUGUCUUGGGGAGCAAUCGUGGAAUGGGGCUCACCUGUCUGGCCAGCAUUUGGGGGUCUGGUGGGAGCCGUUCGGGUGUUCUCUGGAGCUCUCGGGUGCUGCAGAGCCUUUGGAUGACUUUGUCUUGCAGGAUGGAGAUGGAUGAGCACCCGGAUAUCCUGCCCACCCAGGGGCAAGGCAACAUCAUCAUUACUAAGUAUGAGCAGGGACGCUGAGCUGGGGCAGCAGUGGACACAGAGCAUGAGCGUGUUGACAUCUGGAAAUUCACCAGUCGUCUCUGGGUUGUGUGUGAGACAGAGCUGCCCGUGUCAGUGCCCUGGAGGUGAAGGGAAGAGCCUGUGCCUGCUGCGUGGGAGACUGGUCCAGGGACAGGGAAUCAGGAGUGGUUGGUGAGACAGAGGGGGUGGCCUGCGGGCCCGGGCGGUGGUAAGUGGGCCAGGGCUGUCCCUGGGAGGGGCGGCCUUUCCUGACGGACUCUGUUCCCAUGAGCAUUUGACCAAAACCCAAAUCAAGAACCACAGUCUUGGCUCAGAGGUCACUGCCUGUUUGUACCAAGUCCCCAGCUAAGGGCCAGGACCUGACCAAAACUCGGGGUGUCUGUGGCCUGAGGAUGGUGUGUCCUGGCAUGACCAGUCCAGACCACCAGCUCCAGUUAGUUCAGAGGGUCUCAGCCCCCGGGCUCUGCUCUUUCCUUGCUCCUUCAGGGCCCCAAAGCCCAGGACCCAGCAUCCAUGGGCCGCUGCCGGAGGCCUGGCAGCUCCGCUAACUCCAUCAUGGCUCAUUUGACAGCAAAGGUGUCAGGAAAUAAAAUGUACUGACAAGUGGCUGAAGAUGCUUGGAGACUGGCCAAAAUAUAAGAACAGCAAGAAGGUGACAUGGCGGUUGGGCCUGGUAGCUCAGGCCUGUAACCCCAGCACUUCGGGAGGCUGAGGUGGGCGGAUCACCUGAGGUCAGGAGU
rnacentral:lncRNA from 1 species